CUGAAAAAAUAUCAGAGGUGGAACUGUAAGACUUGUCAUAAGCUUGAAAUAUGAGGGACCAGAGACCAUCAGUUGAGAAAAACAGUUGGUAGAGAAGGUGUAAUGGAGGUAAGAAAAAGGCAAAGCUUCCAUCAGAAAUGUUGAUGUGGGAGAGAAGAAGUCACCAAGUAGUCAACAGAGAAGCCAGAUUUCUCACAAUGCUCCCACUGAAAUUCAGGGCCACAUGGAUCUUUGCUCUAGAUACUCUUUUGCUUGAAAUAAUCUGAGUAAGUGAUGGGUCUCUAUCCAUUCAACUAAAGUUAAGCAACAGGUUUAGUUUAGGAACAAUUUCACAGCCAUACAAAAGAGGCUAUGACUUUUCUCACAGCGCAGUCACAUGAGAAACUUCCAGUGAUUCCAUAUGGACAAGUACCUGACAUAUUAGGAGAAGAGAAUGUGCACCAAAACUAAAGAGAUUAAAGCUUUUCUGCUGGUGUCUAUGGGAGACUCUGAAAACACUAUGUUGUACUUCCUUGAAAACCAAAGCAGAUAAGAAGGAAGUAAUAACAACUGGAUUCUCUUGACAGUAGAGAGGCCUUAUCUGGCACCUGGUUAGGAGUGGUCAAAAACAAUAGAAAUUUCAAGGGAAAUGUCAAAAUUUAAGGCACACAAGGAAUCCUCUAUACCUAAUCCAAAGAGAGGAGUUAGGCUACAGUGAGAUCAGAGGGAGAAGACUGAACCAAAAGAAUAGGGUUUUUUUUUUUAUUUAUUUAUGACCCUAUAAUCCACCAGCUAUGGCCAUAGAAAUGGAAAUCCACUGUAAAGGUAUUUCUCCUAAAACUCUGGUAAAAGCAACAGUGGACCAAGAGAUGGUAUCAGGUUAUUCCUUAAAGUAUGUGAUGGAAACACCUAAGCAUACCAGUAAACCCAGGGCUCUUUAAUUAGAUUCGAGCAGACAAUCUGGAUUCUACAUUUAAAUUUUUCUGUUGUCUCAUACUCUCCUUGGUGUUUCUGGCUUUAAAAAUGCCAAGAUCCCAUAUUGCAUGCAUGCUUAAAAGAUGGAUGUAAGACAAACUCUUUCAACAGGUGGUAACUAGACAUUGUGGUGGCCAUUUCAUAGUGUAUAUAGUUAUCAAAUCACUAUGUUGUACACCUGAAACUAAUGCAAUAUUACAUGUCAAUUAUUCUUCAAUUAAAAAAAAAAAGACAAACUUUCCUGGGAAAUACUUCCGAGAGUGAAGAAAUGAACAGCAUAAUGACAACAAAAGCACAUUUUGCUUAUUUUGAAGGGACAACAGUGGGUUGGAAUUUAUCCAUCCUCACUCUCCAGGUCUCUCAGAAUAAUCAUUAGAAAAAAAUACGCCAGGUCGCAUCUGCUUUGAGGUACAGUUUUAUAAACCAGAGGUAAUCAGAUUAUAAAGAGUUCUCAACAAAAGUUUCCUGUUUUAUCUCUACUGCUUGCUACCUGUAGUCCAAAGUUUAAGGGGACUCUUGAAGUACACUUGCAAAGUGGAUCCUGUCCAGCAAAUAGCAGAAGAGGAUUCAAUAAAAUGACUGCCCAAGCCUCCCAGAACAGGUGACAGGAGUGUCAGGAAUUUGGAGUAGACAUUCAAUCCAGCAGGGAAGCUACAGUGUUUACUAACUGCAAUGGCAGCUACAAUCCCUCGAUUUGAGAUAUGCCUUCAACUAGGUGAUGCCAACUUUCCUUCCAGAUGGCUGUUAAGCACCCACAACCAACGACUGACACAGCUUCUGGCAGCAGUUGGGAAGAGCUGUGAGCGAUGUCGUCCCGAGGAGAAAGCCAGCAAAAUCACAUUUUCAAUACAGUUAUUCUCAAGCACAAGAAGAGUUCUAUUUUUAUUAACAGGGCCAUUUAAAAUAGGCAUGAAAUUAAUUUAUUGCUACACUGGUUAAAAAUAUUUACUUUUUUAUUAGUUUUGCAGUUGGCAUAAAUCCGUUUUGCUGUAAGAAAUCAGGAUGGCGAGCAGGCAAUGAACAAGGAAAGACUACAUAGCCCCAUCAGAGCAAGUGUUUGGCAAGGUUAUUGGUACUCCUGCCCAAGAAGCGAGCAGUUAGGCACAAAGCAUGUGCUAAAUCCAUAAUUUCUGUGCUCUGGAUGCAAUAGGAAGACUAGGGAGACUCUUAGCUCCAUGCAAUGAAACUCAGAUAGACAUUUCCCUUGUCCCUUGCACAACUUCUAACUGGCAGUGAGCAGUUCUACCAUUAAAAAACUGAAGAAGCAUAACUUA